GCGGUUUGGGAUCAUUAUGCCAGCAUCCUUGAUAAAAUCGCAGUCCUCGGUCCAGGCAGGCAGCAUCAACGCAGGCUAUAACACUUCACCGAAGUAAAGUCACAUUCCUACGCCAUUAUCCUACCGCCCAAACCGAUGCUGGCCCGAUAAGCUGCGGGUCACCCCGCCACGAAGGCAAGGCUCACAAAAUAUCGAGUCUGAUCUCAAACCCUUCCCUUUCAACAAUUUCACGUACUUUUUCACUCUCUUUUCAAAGUUCUUUUCAUCUUUCCAUCACUGUACUUGUUCGCUAUCGGUCUCUCGCCAAUAUUUAGCUUUAGAUGGAAUUUACCACCCACUUAGAGCUGCAUUCCCAAACAACUCGACUCUUCGAAAGCACCUUACAUAGAAUUGGGCAUCUCAUCGCACGGGAUUCUCACCCUCUGUGACGUCCUGUUCCAAGAAACAUAGACAAGAGCCAACCCCAAGGUUACAAUCUUCAAAUUACAACUCGGACACCGAAGGCGCCAGAUUUCAAAUUUGAGCUUUUGCCGCUUCACUCGCCGCUACUAAGGCAAUCCCUGUUGGUUU
rnacentral:rRNA from 1 species